rnacentral:rRNA from 1 species
AUGAGGGGAUCACUAAAAGGAAUCAAGGUAUGUAGGGGAGCCCCUAGUGUAAGCCAUUUGUUCUUUGCGGUUGAUUCAUUACUUCUAUUGGAGGCCAGUGCUGAAAGUGCUCGGGAAAUUAGUAGAAUUCUAAAUCUUUAUGAAGCUGCUUCAAGCCAUGUGAUUAAUAAAGAUAAAUCCUCAAUAUUGUUCAGUGCAAACACAAGGCAAGUGUUGAAGGACAAAAAUGAGAAGUAUUCUGCAAGUUACCUCGCAAGGUCUAUCCCCAAGAUAUCUUGGUGUUCCAUCCUAUGUGGGUAA